rnacentral:rRNA from 1 species
GAUGAACGCUGGCGGCGUGCCUAAUACAUGCAAGUCGAACGAAGAGAAAUAGCUAAGCUUGCUUAGCAAUGGAUCUUAGUGGCGAACGGGUGAGUAAGACAUAAAUAACCUGCCUCGACGUCUGGGAUAACAGUUGGAAACGACUGCUAAUACCGGAUAAGUUACCUGAAGGCAUCUUCAGAAAACAAAAGAUGGGAUACAUCGCAUCGAGAUGGAUUUAUGGCGCAUUAGUUAGUUGGUGAGGUAACGGCUCACCAAGACGAUGAUGCGUAGCCGGCCUGAGAGGGUGACCGGCCACACUGGGACUGAGACACGGCCCAGACUCCUACGGGAGGCAGCAGUAGGGAAUUUUCGGCAAUGGGGGCAACCCUGACCGAGCGACGCCGCGUGAGUGAAGAAGGUCUUCCGAUUGUAAAGCUCUGUUGUAAGGGAAGAACCGUACCAGUAGGGAAUGACUGGUACCUGACGGUACCUUACCAGCAAGCCACGGCUAACUACGUGCCAGCAGCCGCGGUAAUACGUAGGUGGCAAGCGUUAUCCGGAAUUAUUGGGCGUAAAGGGAGCGCAGGGCGGCUUAUUAAGUCUGAGGUUAAAGUUCGGGGCUCAACCCCGUGAUGCCUUAGAAACUGGUAGGCUAGAGUGCAGGAGAGGUGAGUGGAAUUCCAUGUGUAGCGGUAAAACGCGUAGAUAUAUGGAGGAACACCAGUGGCGAAGGCGGCUCACUGGCCUGUAACUGACGCUGAGGCUCGAAAGCGUGGGGAGCAAAUAGGAUUAGAUACCCUAGUAGUCCACGCCGUAAACGAUGGAUACUAAGUGUUGGGAUAGAAUCUCAGUGCUGUAGUUAACGCAAUAAGUAUCCCGCCUGGGGAGUAUGCGCGCAUGCGUAAAACUCAAAGGAAUUGACGGGGGCCCGCACAAGCGGUGGAGUAUGUGGUUUAAUUCGAUGCAACGCGAAGAACCUUACCUGGUCUUGACAUGCCUCGCAAAAGCUUAGAGAUAAGUAAUAGUUAUGGAGGACACAGGUGGUGCAUGGUUGUCGUCAGCUCGUGUCGUGAGAUGUUGGGUUAAGUCCCGCAACGAGCGCAACCCUUGUCUUUAGUUGCCAGCAUUAAGUUGGGGACUCUAGAGAGACUGCCGGUGAUAAACCGGAGGAAGGUGGGGAUGACGUCAAAUCAUCAUGCCCCUUAUGAUCAGGGCUACACACGUACUACAAUGGCAUAUACAGAGGGCAGCGAAAUAGUGAUAUGGAGCGAAUCUCAGAAAGUAUGUCUCAGUUCGGAUUGAAGUCUGCAACUCGACUUCAUGAAGUCGGAAUCGCUAGUAAUCGCAGAUCAGAAUGCUGCGGUGAAUACGUUCUCGGGCCU